GACGAACCGUGCGAACGUUGUUCGGAAUCACUGGGCUUAAAGGGCGCGUAGGCGGGCAGGCAAGUCAGGGGUGAAAUCCCACGGCUCAACCGUGGAAGUGCCUUUGAUACUGCCGGUCUUGAGGGAGGUAGGGGCGUGCGGAACUUCCGGUGGAGCGGUGAAAUGCGUAGAUAUCGGAAGGAACACCGGUGGCGAAAGCGGCGCGCUGGACCUCUUCUGACGCUGAGGCGCGAAAGCCAGGGGAGCAAAGCGGG
rnacentral:rRNA from 1 species